CAUAAUGGCCAAACCUCCUGGUCAAAGCCUGAUCUCGUCAGAACUCUAAGCAGGGCUGAGCUUGGUUAGAACUUGGAUGGGAAACAGCUGGGAAUACCAGGUGCCAUGGUGG
rnacentral:rRNA from 1 species